rnacentral:tRNA from 1 species
CCCGGGCUGGCUCAGUUGGUAGAGCAUGUGACUCUUGAUCUCAGGGUCGUGAGUUUGAGCCCCAUGUUUGGUG